AUUGAACGCUGGCGGCAGGCUUAACACAUGCAAGUCGAGCGGGGGAAGGUAGCUUGCUACUGGACCUAGCGGCGGACGGGUGAGUAAUGCUUAGGAAUCUGCCUAUUAGUGGGGGACAACAUCUCGAAAGGGAUGCUAAUACCGCAUACGUCCUACGGGCGAAAGCAGGGGAUCUUCGGACCUUGCACUACUAGCUGAGCCUCAGUCGGAUUAGCUAGUUGGUGGGGUAAAGGCCUACCAAGGCGACGAUCUGUAGCGGGUCUGAGAGGAUGAUCCGCCACACUGGGACUGAGACACGGCCCAGACUCCUACGGGAGGCAGCAGUGGGGAAUAUUGGACAAUGGGGGGAACCCUGAUCCAGCCAUGCCGCGUGUGUGAAGAAGGCCUUAUGGUUGUAAAGCACUUUAAGCGAGGAGGAGGCUACUCUAGUUAAUACCUAGGGAUAGUGGACGUUACUCGCAGAAUAAGCACCGGCUAACUCUGUGCCAGCAGCCGCCGUAA
rnacentral:rRNA from 1 species